CGCACCUUGCGCUCCUUGGCAUUCCGAGGAGCAUGCCUGUUUGAGUGUCAUGAAACUCUCAACUCCUGCCAUCUUUGCAGAUGUGGGUCGGUUGGAUUUUGGAGGUUGCCGGACCCGUUCGGCUCCUCUUGAAUGCAUAGUAAAAGCUUGGACCUGACUGACCGACAUCUCUGACCUCUGACCUCAAAUCAGGCAGGACUACCCGCUGAACUUUAA
rnacentral:misc_RNA from 1 species